rnacentral:misc_RNA from 1 species
UCCUGCCCAGUCACAUAGUUCAUCGGCCACGGUAUCCUAACUGUGCAAAGGUAUCAUAAUCACUUGCCUAUUAAUUGUAGGCUAGAAUGAAAGAAAAAACAAAAUAUAAGCUGUCUCUAUCUAAGAAAAAUAUAAUCUCUAACUGAAGAAUGUAGAUUUAAUCGAAGGACAUGAAGACCCUAUAGAGCUUUAUCUAAACAAGAAACUAUAUCUAUCUAAGAUUCGGUUGGGGCGACCAAGGAUAUUUACAAUCAUCCUUCGUCAAAAGAUUUAUAAAUCUUAAUCUUGAUCCUUAUUAAAAACACAAAAACAAGCUACCUUAGGGAUAACAGACUAAUCCCACUAAAGAGUCCUUAUCUAAGGGGGUGGGGGGCAACUAUACGACGCAAACGUGGCAUAAAAAUGGUUUGUUCAACCAAUAAUUCCCUACAUGAGCUGAGUUCAGGCCGGCGUAAGCCAGGAUAAUUUCUAUCCACGAUAAACAUAAUCUAUUUCUAGUACGAAAGGACCGAAAUAAGAGUAAUUAUUAAAACUAACAAAUUAAUAUAAACUACCUAUAAAUUCAAAAUACUAUAAACUAUAAGUGUUUUGGCAGAAUAGUGCCACUGAUUUAGGAUCGGUUCAUGGGUAAACCCACUCACUAAAGCAACUUAGUUUAUUUAGAAUAAUCAAUUUGCACUUGAUAGGAGAAAAUUUCAGUAGCGGAUUGAUGUUUUGGAAACAAUAGACUAGAAGGUCUACAUAAGCGUUCGACUCAUC